CUUCAGAGGAGCUGGGCAGCCCGGGCUGUGCGGGUGCCACCGUCAGCCAGCAGCACCCCCAGGGGGAUUGCAGCCCCUGGCUGUGCCUUGCACCCGUGGCAGGUGUUGCAGUGGAGCCAGGACCCUGCAGUGUCCCAGGGGAAUGAACAAGGCUGAACCUGAGACAGAGCCAGGCUGAGCUGGGGCCCCAGGGGCACCUCCACUCCUGGAGGAGAACCUCUUCUUGGAGAGCCUGAUGGGAACAUCUGCCGUGGCUUCUGUGGAUGCUCUUGAAGAGGGAGUGAAGCAGACACAUGGUGACUGGCACCCGGCCCAAUGAGGGAGGAGGGGGAGGA
rnacentral:lncRNA from 1 species